rnacentral:tRNA from 1 species
GCCCAGCUAGCUCAGUCAGUAGAGCAUGGGACUUUUAACCCCAGAGUCGUGGGUUUGAGUACCACAUUGGGUG